rnacentral:rRNA from 1 species
UACGGAGGAUCCAAGCGUUAUCCGGAAUCAUUGGGUUUAAAGGGUCCGUAGGCGGUUAUGUAAGUCAGUGGUGAAAGCCCAUCGCUCAACGAUGGAACGGCCAUUGAUACUGCAUGACUUGAAUUAUUGGGAAGUAACUAGAAUAUGUAGUGUAGCGGUGAAAUGCUUAGAUAUUACAUGGAAUACCAAUUGCGAAGGCAGGUUACUAUCAAUAUAUUGACGCUGAUGGACGAAAGCGUGGGGAGCGAACAGG